GCGGGAAUAGCUCAGCGGUAGAGCCCCUGCCUUCCAAGCAGGUUGUCGCGGGUUCGAAUCCCGUUUCCCGCUCCA
rnacentral:tRNA from 5 species